UACGGAGGGACCUAGCGUUGUUCGGAAUUACUGGGCGUAAAGCGCACGUAGGCGGCUUUGUAAGUUAGAGGUGAAAGCCCGGGGCUCAACCCCGGAAUUGCCUUUAAGACUGCAUCGCUUGAAUCCGGGAGAGGUGAGUGGAAUUCCGAGUGUAGAGGUGAAAUUCGUAGAUAUUCGGAAGAACACCAGUGGCGAAGGCGGCUCACUGGACCGGUAUUGACGCUGAGGUGCGAAAGCGUGGGGAGCAAACAGG
rnacentral:rRNA from 1 species